UACGUAGGGGGCCAGCGUUGUCCGGAAUCAUUGGGCGUAAAGCGCGCGUAGGCGGUCCGGUAAGUCCGCUGUGAAAGUCGGGGGCUCAACCCUCGAAUGCCGGUGGAUACUGUCGGGCUAGAGUGCGGAAGAGGCGAGUGGAAUUCCUGGUGUAGCGGUGAAAUGCGCAGAUAUCAGGAGGAACACCUAUUGCGAAGGCAGCUCGCUGGGACGUAACUGACGCUGAGACGCGAAAGCGUGGGGAGCAAACAGG
rnacentral:rRNA from 1 species